AAUUGCUAGUAUUACAUAAUGGUCACUAUGAUAUUUAUGUGUACCUAGAUGCUGCGCACUGAAUCGUGUUAAUGAUAAUUGACAGAAUGAACUCUGUGACUCUUGUAGCAAUGCGUAGUAUUCCUAAAUGAUGUUAUGAAACCAGGUGCAUAAUACGGGCAGAAUAAUAUCCAAAUUGAGAGUUUAACAACAUGUGACCUAUUUGGCGAUUCUGUGUCUGCAACGAAUGCUCUAGUAUUCUAUAUUGAGUCAUGUAUUGUGUAUUCUAUAUAUUAACCUUUGUAACCUUUUAUGCCGUGUAUGAAUGAACGUAUUGUGAGUAAGUGAUGCCUCAUACUAGGUGGGGGGCUCCGAGACCCAGGACUCGGAGACCCACAUCCUGCAUCCAGACUCUUUGAUUGGCAGUUUUGACGGUUUUGUUACUUUAUUUAGAAAUAAAAUAUUAAUCUUAAUUUUGAACACUAAAUGUUCACUCAUGAUCGUCGUAUAUGGGCCGAACUAGUCAAAACUGUCCAUCAUAAGUAAAACCUUAUAUAUACCCAUAUGAAAUGAGAUUGUGCAGACUCCUGAUUUGGGCUGCUAUUAGCUGAUGUAAUUGUAACUAUACGAUCACGCUUAAUAAAACCGCUUGAGAAAG
rnacentral:sRNA from 1 species